CCCUUAGAUGUUCUGGGCCGUACACGCGCUACACUGAAGGAGGCAGCGUGUACUCCUGGAUCGAAAGAUUUGGGUAACCCGCGAAUCUCCUUCGUGCUAGGGAUUGAGGUUUGCAAUUAUCCUUCAUGAACGAGGAAUUCCCAGUAAGUGCAAGUCAUAAGCUUGCGCUGACUACGUCCCUGCCCUUUGUACACACCGCCCGUCGCUACUACCGAUUGAAUGAUUUAGUGAGGACUUCGGACUGGGACCGAUGCGGCUUUCGGGCUGCGUCGGUAUUCUGGAAAGAUGUCCAAACUGUAUCAUUUAGAGGAAGUAAAANUCGUANCA
rnacentral:rRNA from 1 species